rnacentral:lncRNA from 1 species
ACUCUUCUCACAGGUGUCCAUCCAGUGGCGUCUGUUCCAGCAUCUCUUGGAGACAGCGUGAAAGAGCAGGACAUCUGUGGAGUCGGUUGGAGUGACAACAAGCAAUCAUUUAACUUCGUAAAGCUCAGUUUCCUCACUUGGGGUGUGGGGACAAUAACCGGGACCCCGUUCAGAGUGAUUCUGAGUGUCCUUGUAGGGGGUAGAUAUGAAAUCACUUGCAGGAAUUAUGUCAGGAGUUUAAAUGCUCUCUUUUCCCCUGCCCCACUUCUUCCCAUCUCAUGGGUGCUUUCAUUAAAUUUCAGAAGAGCUUUUUAUUUGUCUUAUUCAAACUUUUUCCAAAUUCUUUUUUACUAGCCAUAGAGAAAUUUUUUAAAAUGCCUUUCUGCUUCGCCCACUGGCCCUCUUAUCAGCAACUAUCCUGAGGGCCAUGGAGGAGGCUCAAUGGGAUGAACAAUUCCCUGAGAAGAUUCUGCACAGAGACAUGAGCCGCCCUGCAGGUACAUUCUUCUGCUAUUUGACCGUAUCUUGAUUCCCUUCAGCUGUGGUUUUUCCACACAUGUCGUAUUGGGUUAUUAUAAUCAUAGCAGCUGAUUGAUUUUAAAGCGCGGGUCUCCCAUUGCUCAGAACAUUUCCACUAAGCACUGGUUGACUGAUUGCCCAGUUAGAGAAAUUCAGGUGUCUCUAAAGCAAGAGGAAAAAGGUAUGCUGUGUUUUUGGCUUUGAUUUUAUACCUUUAGUUGUCUAGAGAAAUAGAUUUUUCUUACUUCUUCAAAUAUCUUGAUGGAGUUGACUCUCUUCUUUUAUAGUCAGUGGAUUUCUGCAAACUUUGUGAUCAAACUGUGGUCCCAGACUAGCAGGAUCAGCAGCAGCUGGGAGCUUGUUAGAAAUGCAGAAUCUUAGGUCCCAGCUCAGGCCUACUGAAUCAGGGAUCAGAAUCUGCAUUACCACCCCUACCCCGUGAUUGCUGUGCCCUGGAAAGAUGGAGAAGUGCUGUUUUGCAGGGUCUGGGCCCAGCGUCAGCCUUUAAAGCUCUGGGCUCCGGGGUGACUUGCAGGGGAGAAAUGAUGCUACUCUAUAGAAGGCCACCCACU